AACGCACAUUGCGCCCCUUGGUAUUCCGAAGGGCAUGCCUGUUCGAGCGUCAUUUCAACCCUCAAGCUCUGCUUGGUAUUGGGCCCCGCCAGAACUGGCGGGCCUUAAACUCAGUGGCGGUGCCAUGCGGCUCUACGCGUAGUAAUCUUCUCGCUAUAGAAGCCUAGUGGAUACUUGCCAGCAACCCCUAUUUCUUAAGGUUGACCUCGGAUCAGGUAGGGAUACCCGCUGAACUUAA
rnacentral:misc_RNA from 1 species